rnacentral:rRNA from 1 species
CUACUUGCUGACGACCGGCGCACGGGUGCGUAACGCGUAUACAAUCUACCUUAUACAGAGGGAUAGCCUUUAGAAAUGAAGAUUAAUACCUUAUAGUCUAUUAAUAUAGCAUUAUAUAAAUAGUAAAGCUUCGGCGGUAUAAGAUGAGUAUGCGUCCUAUUAGUUAGUUGGUAAGGUAACGGCUUACCAAGACAACGAUAGGUAGGGGCCCUGAGAGGGGGAUCCCCCACACUGGUACUGAGACACGGACCAGACUCCUACGGGAGGCAGCAGUGAGGAAUAUUGGGCAAUGGAGGCAACUCUGACCCAGCCAUGCCGCGUGAAGGAUGACUGCCCUAUGGGUUGUAAACUUCUUUUAUAUGGGAAGAAACUUAUCUACGUGUAGAUAACUGACGGUGCCAUACGAAUAAGGAUCGGCUAACUCCGUGCCAGCAGCCGCGGUAAUACGGAGGAUCCAAGCGUUAUCCGGAUUCAUUGGGUUUAAAGGGUCCGUAGGCGGGUCUUUAAGUCAGUGGUGAAAGCCGACAGCUCAACUGUCGAACUGCCAUUGAUACUGGAGACCUUGAGUACAAAUGAAGUAGGCGGAAUGAGUCAUGUAGCGGUGAAAUGCAUAGAUAUGACUCAGAACACCGAUUGCGAAGGCAGCUUACUAACAUGUAACUGACGCUGAGGGACGAAAGCGUGGGGAGCGAACAGGAU